rnacentral:rRNA from 1 species
AUACCAGACUCCUACGGGAGGCAGCAGUGGGGAAUAUUGCACAAUGGGGGAAACCCUGAUGCAGCGACGCCGCGUGAGUGAAGAAGUAUUUCGGUAUGUAAAGCUCUAUCAGCAGGGAAGAAAAUGACGGUACCUGAUUAAGAAGCCCCGGCUAACUACGUGCCAGCAGCCGCGGUAAUACGUAGGGGGCAAGCGUUAUCCGGAUUUACUGGGUGUAAAGGGAGCGUAGACGGCAGCGCAAGUCUGAAGUGAAGUGCCGGGGCUUAACCCCGGAACUGCUUUGGAAACUGUGCAGCUCGAGUGCAGGAGAGGUAAGCGGAAUUCCUAGUGUAGCGGUGAAAUGCGUAGAUAUUAGGAGGAACACCAGUGGCGAAGGCGGCUUACUGGACUGUAACUGACGUUGAGGCUCGAAAGCGUGGGGAGCAAACAGGAUUAGAUACCCCGGUAAA